rnacentral:rRNA from 1 species
CUGGUGGCGAGUGGCGAACGGGUGAGUAAUACAUCGGAACAUGUCCUGUAGUGGGGGAUAGCCCGGCGAAAGCCGGAUUAAUACCGCAUACGAUCUACGGAUGAAAGCGGGGGACCUUCGGGCCUCGCGCUAUAGGGUUGGCCGAUGGCUGAUUAGCUAGUUGGUGGGGUAAAGGCCUACCAAGGCGACGAUCAGUAGCUGGUCUGAGAGGACGACCAGCCACACUGGGACUGAGACACGGCCCAGACUCCUACGGGAGGCAGCAGUGGGGAAUUUUGGACAAUGGGCGAAAGCCUGAUCCAGCAAUGCCGCGUGUGUGAAGAAGGCCUUCGGGUUGUAAAGCACUUUUGUCCGGAAAGAAAUCCUUGGUUCUAAUAUAGCCGGGGGAUGACGGUACCGGAAGAAUAAGCACCGGCUAACUACGUGCCAGCAGCCGCGGUAAUACGUAGGGUGCGAGCGUUAAUCGGAAUUACUGGGCGUAAAGCGUGCGCAGGCGGUUUGCUAAGACCGAUGUGAAAUCCCCGGGCUCAACCUGGGAACUGCAUUGGUGACUGGCAGGCUAGAGUAUGGCAGAGGGGGGUAGAAUUCCACGUGUAGCAGUGAAAUGCGUAGAGAUGUGGAGGAAUACCGAUGGCGAAGGCAG